rnacentral:pre_miRNA from 11 species
AAUUCCUUUUUGGCAAUCUCAGUGGCUCCAGAAAUCAAGGUUGGGUGAGACCUCGUGAACAGACUGGAAGGCGACCCAUACUUGGUUUCAGGAGCUUCGAGGAUUUAUUCAUCAACCGUCC